UCUCUUUUUUAAUUAGAAAUUGCCUGCUUUCUCCAUUUUAAACAGACUUCAUCUCUGUCUGCUGUGUUAUACAUAGAUGGCUUUAUAUAUUUACAUUAUCUGCCAGAUUCCUGAAGACAAUAGAGUUUUAGACACCUCACUUAAAUUCUAUUUGUGAAGAACAGUCUCUGGGGCUGUUCUCAUUUCAGACUUUAAUUCUUGAAUCAUUAUCAACCUUCCAUAGCAACUGGAGACAUGGAGUCUGGGAACCAAGACUAGAAUGAGUGAGUUGAUGGAAAAUGCCUGUAUGCUGACUGAAUGAGGAUAUGGCAGCAGAAUUGAAUGUCCUGGUUAGAGACUGGAGCCUGGUUACAAAAACUCAGAGUCCUGGAAAGUCUGAUUCUGGGUCCUGAGUGAAAAAAAUUAUUCCUUAGGGAAGAACUGGGAGUCACACUGACUCUUAUAGGAACACAUCCAUGGACAAAAAAGAAAAAAAAAAAAGCAAAAGCGAAAGCGAAAAACUAACCCAAAUCCCAGAUGGCUGGCACUGGCAUCAUCACCUGGUAACUACAGGAACAAUAAAGAGCCAGUUCCUAAGGAUUAUUCAUGACCUGAGACAAGUUGGCAAAGACUUGGAAGUGUCAGAUGACAAACCCCAGGAUAUUCUGGGUGUGAAGAAAGAUGAUUGGCAGAUGGCAAGAGAUACGCUGAUGCUGUGUUGAGGAGCACAGCCAGAUGGACAAAGCCAGAUGGAAAAGGACCCUUAAAACAGAUCUUCCAUAGUAUUUACUUGCCUUUCCUUCUUCAUACUUCUUGGAAAAAGCAGCCCUUUUUGAUUCUAGGAUUUUCUCUGUCCUGAGAACCAAUAUGAUACUGAUGAAAAGAAAAAAAAAUCUCUAACAACCUGAAAACUGAGUGCUCUGAGAGGCCAACAUUUGUUGGAGCUUUUCCACUAGAUUAGCGUUCAUUUGUCUUACUUCACACUGUCCCCCAGUCCCCCUGCCAGCUUCAGUUUUACUUUGUUAUUAACAAUAAAAGCUUUGUUCACAGACA
rnacentral:lncRNA from 12 species